rnacentral:misc_RNA from 1 species
GAUGAAGAACGCAGCGAAAUGCGAUAAGUAGUGUGAAUUGCAGAAUUCAGUGAAUCAUCGAAUCUUUGAACGCACAUUGCGCCCCUUGGUAUCCCGAGGGGCAUGCCUGUUCGAGCGUCAUUUCACCACUCAAGCCUGGCUUGGUGUUGGGCGACGUCCCCUUUGGGGACGCGCCUCGAAACGCUCGGCGGCGUGGCACCGGCUUUAAGCGUAGCAGAAUCUUUCGCUUUGGAAGUCGGGGCCCCGUCUGCCGGAAGACCUACUCGCAAGGUUGACCUGGGAUCAGGCAGGGAUACCCGCUGAACUUAAGCAUAUCAAUAAGCGGAGGA